CGCUGGCGGCAGGCCUAACACAUGCAAGUCGAACGGGAUCUUCUGAUCUAGUGGCGGACGGGUUAGUAACGCGUGGGAACGUACCCUUUUCUACGGAAUAGCCUCGGGUAAACUGAGAGUAAUACCGUAUACGCCCUUCGGGGGAAAGAUUUAUCGGAGAAGGAUCGGCCCGCGUAAGAUUAGAUAGUUGGUGGGGUAAUGGCCUACCAAGUCUACGAUCUUUAGCUGGUUUGAGAGGAUGAUCAGCAACACUGGGACUGAGACACGGCCCAGACUCCUACGGGAGGCAGCAGUGGGGAAUCUUAGACAAUGGGGGAAACCCUGAUCUAGCCAUGCCGCGUGAGUGACGAAAGCCUUAGGGUCGUAAAGCUCUUUCGCUGGGGAAGAUAAUGACUGUACCCAGUAAAGAAACCCCGGCUAACUCCGUGCCAGCAGCCGCGGUAAUACGGAGGGGGUUAGCGUUGUUCGGAAUUACUGG
rnacentral:rRNA from 1 species